rnacentral:lncRNA from 1 species
UCCACAAGUCCCCAACCUUGGCCUCCUUUUGCGUUGAAAAAGAGUAUAGACGAGGGAAUCUAUUAUAAAGCAAUGUUUCCCAACAUCACCUAUACUUCCAAAAAUUAGUCUUCCAGCCAUUGCCCACUUUUCUCAACACCCUAUUUGUAAACUAAUCAUCCCCCACACUCCCAUCCAAUAGGAUCAAAUCCUUCCAACACAACGAUGUAAACCUCAACUAUUUUGCUCCUACCACCAGUUCCAAACCUUCAAUUUGCUCACCAUACUUCUCCAUCAAAACUUGCUUUGAAAGAGA